rnacentral:misc_RNA from 1 species
GAUGAAGAACGUAGCGAAACGCGAUAAGUAAUGUGAAUUGCAGAAUCCAGUGAAUCAUCGAAUCUUUGAACGCACAUUGCGCCCGCCAGCAUUCUGGCGGGCAUGCCUGUUCGAGCGUCAUUUCAACCCUCGACCUCCCCUGGGGGAGGUCGGCGUUGGGGACCGGCAGCACACCGCCGGCCCUGAAAUGGAGUGGCGGCCCGUCCGCGGCGACCUCUGCGCAGUAAUACAGCUCGCACCGGGACCCCGACGCGGCCACGCCGUAAAACACCCAACUUCUGAACGUUGACCUCGAAUCAGGUAGGACUACCCGCUGAACUUAAGCAUAUCAAUAAGCGGAGGA